GAGUCAGUGCUGCAAGGAGUUGCCCAUGAGAAAUCACUGAGAAGUCUUUGAUGGAAGAUGUAAUUCUCUACAUGGAAACUGGGAAGAGGAUUUUGCUGGCCCUGACUUUAUCAGUGACUUCUGCAGCUGGCUGAAGGCAGGAUUUGCACAAAGCUGAACUACAUUUUAAUACUUGCUGUCACUUUUGGAAAACCUCAAAAUUGUGACUUUUUCCCAAAGUAACUAGAGACAUAAAAAUCGUCGAAGGAAACAGUUAAUAGAGUGCAGGGCAAUCGAAGGGCUUUGGCUCCUACUGCAAAAUAUUAACAGCUGUAAUUUGACCUCUUAGCCAAUUAAUUUUGGCCAGUGUAAAAUUCCAUACACUAAAUCUGUUUACGAUACUUCACUAUUCUAGGCAUCUGAUACUGUGCCAAGACCUUAAUAUGUCUCUGAACAGAGGUCAAGUCAUGGCCUUAAAAUGAAGACUUGAAAUAUAAGCUGUG